GAUAGCUCAGCUGGUCCAGCAUGAGACUCUUCAUCUCAGGGUUGUGGGUUCAAGCCCCACAUUGGGCA